rnacentral:rRNA from 1 species
AGAGUUUGAUCCUGGCUCAGAAUCAACGCUGGCGGCGUGCCUAACACAUGCAAGUCGAGCGCGGUUAGUAGCAAUACUAACUGAGUGGCGAACGGGUGAGUAACACGUGGGUGACCUACCUUCGAGUGGGGGAUAACGUCCCGAAAGGGACGCUAAUACCGCAUAACAUCCUGCCUUUGAACAGGCGGUGAUCAAAGCCGGGGACCGUAAGGCCCGGCGCUUGAUGAGGGGCCCGCGUCUGAUUAGCUAGUUGGUGAGGUAAUGGCCCACCAAGGCGACGAUCAGUAUCCGGCCUGAGAGGGCGGACGGACACACUGGGACUGAGACACGGCCCAGACUCCUACGGGAGGCAGCAGUGGGGAAUUGUUCACAAUGGGCGCAAGCCUGAUGACGCAACGCCGCGUGGAGGAUGAAGGUCUUCGGAUUGUAAACUCCUGUUGCCCGGGACGAAAAGCCUCGACCUAACACGUCGAGGUCUGACGGUACCGGGUGAGGAAGCCCCGGCUAACUCUGUGCCAGCAGCCGCGGUAAUACAGAGGGGGCAAGCGUUGUUCGGAAUUACUGGGCGUAAAGGGCGCGUAGGCGGCCUUCUAAGUCGAACGUGAAAUCCCUGGGCUCAACCCAGGAACUGCGUCCGAUACUGGAAGGCUUGAAUCCGGGAGAGGGAUGCGGAAUUCCAGGUGUAGCGGUGAAAUGCGUAGAUAUCUGGAGGAACACCGGUGGCGAAGGCGGCAUCCUGGACCGGUAUUGACGCUGAGGCGCGAAAGCCAGGGGAGCAAACGGGAUUAGAUACCCCCGGU